GAGGCCAGCCUGCUCCGGGAAGUGCCCUCGCCAAGCUGGGUACGACUGCCCCCCGAGGCGAGAUGAGGGGCGGAGGCCGGAGGAGGAGGCAGGGAGGCGACCUCAGCUUCUUGGCAAAGCUCUGCGCCCGUAGACUAGAGGCGGAGUAGCAGCCGGCUUUAAAGUAGCAGCCUGGGAGGAAGGAAGGAAGGAGCGAGCGAGGGAGGGACGGGAACCCUGGAGGAGGAGCAGCGAGCUGGGCUGCAGAAUCGGCGGGUGCAGGAGCUGCCUGCUCGAGGCCACGUUUGUUUUUGUUAUUUUCCAUUGGACUAGUUCUCCAGGACUGAGCGGGCCGCAAGCGGGCACCCCCGACCUUCCAGGUGACAGCCGGUCACCCUGCUAGGAGUCAGCUCCGCCCCAGUCGCCCCUUCCCGCCCACAGCUCCACUCUCCGCCCAGCCUUCCCGUGCCAGCGCUGGGUGAGCGCGCCGGCCGCAGCGGGCUGCAGGAGCAGGAGCCCGAGCAGGAUCGAGAGACCGCGGCUGCCCUGGUCCCGGACCCCAAGGACGGACCGGCGGCUGGAGAACAGACCUGCCCUGGGGCGCGAUCUCCAGGAAGGAGGAUGCGCGCGUGAGCCUGGGUCUCCCGCUAGUCCACUGAGCUGCAGCCAAAGGCUCGGAGCCGCGCCCGGGGAAGUGUCGCAUGGGGCAGGGCCGCUGAAGCACGGACUUUAAGAACUGGUGGCACCAAGGCAGGCGCGGGGGCCUGGGGCGACAGUUAGCAGUUUCCUCGGCUCCUGCACAGUGAGAGUUGGGGGCGCGGUGCCCUCGCUAGGCGCGAGUUAUGGAGUCGCCUAGCUGCAUUCAGGAUGAGCCUUUCCCGCACCCCCUGGAGCCUGAGCCGAGUGCCCCAGCACAGCCAGGUGCCACCAAGCCUGGCGACAAGCGCUUCCGGCUAUGGUACGUGGGAGGGUCUUGCUUGGAUCGCAGGACCACGCUACCCAUGCUCCCUUGGCUCAUGGCCGAGAUCCGUCGGCGCAGCCAGAAGCCCGAUGCGGGCGGCUGCGGGGCGCCCGCAGCCCGGGAGGUGAUCCUGGUGCUCAGCGCCCCCUUUCUGCGUUGUGUCCCUGCGCCGGGUGCCGGGGUCGGCGGGGGCGCAGGCUCCGGGGCUGUGCAGCCCAACACCGGGGUGUUCAUCUUCGAGCACAAGGCUCAGCACAUCUCGCGCUUCAUCCACAACAGUCACGACCUCACCUACUUUGCCUAUUUGAUCAAGGCGCAGCCCGACGACCCCGAGUCACAGAUGGCCUGCCACGUUUUCCGCGCCACGGAUCCUAACCAGGUUCCAGAUGUGAUCAGUAGCAUCAGGCAGUUAUCCAAGGCUGCCAUGAAGGAGGACUCCAAACCCAGCAAAGAUAACGAGGAUGCCUUCUACAACUCUCAGAAAUUCGAAGUGCUUUACUGUGGGCGGGUGAUCGUGACCCAUAAGAAGGCGCCCUCCAGCCUCAUUGAUGACUGCAAGGACAAGUUCAGCCUGCAUGAGCAGCAGCGACUGAAGCUGCAAGGCGAGAGAGGUGGUGACCCUGGCGACGAGAUGGGUGUCCUUGAGGUCGAGUCUCCUGUGUCUCCAGAUGACAGCCUGCCCGAGAAGGCAGAUGGUACAGUCAACAGCCCCCGUGCCCUGCCCUCUCUGGCUAGCCUUCCUGCCUUGGCCAGCCAACCCGCACUAGCCAGCUCUCGGGUUUGCUUCCCAGAGAGGAUUUUGGAAGACUGUGGCUUUGACGAGCAGCAAGAGUUCCGAUCUCGGUGCAGCAGCGUCACAGGCGUCAUGCAAAAGAAGGUUCAUGAGAACAACCAGAAAACACAGCCAAGAAGGAGGCACGCGAGCGCGCCCAGUCACGUGCAGCCCUCAGACUCGGAGAAGAAUCGGACCAUGCUCUUCCAGGUCGGCCGCUUUGAGAUUAACCUCAUCAGUCCCGACACUAAAUCAGUCGUGCUGGAGAAGAAUUUCAAAGAUAUCUCCUCUUGUUCUCAGGGAAUAAAGCAUGUUGAUCACUUUGGCUUUAUCUGUCGGGAGUCUCCGGAGCCGGGGCUGAGCCAGUACAUCUGUUAUGUGUUCCAGUGCGCCAACGAAUCUCUGGUGGAUGAGGUCAUGCUGACUCUGAAGCAAGCUUUCAGCACGGCUGCUGCGCUGCAGAGUGCCAAGACGCAGAUUAAACUGUGCGAGACCUGCCCCAUGCACUCUUUGCAUAAGCUCUGUGAGAGAAUCGAAGGUCUCUACCCACCUCGAGCCAAGCUGGUAAUCCAGAGGCACCUCUCUUCGCUGACGGAUAACGAGCAAGCUGACAUCUUUGAACGGGUUCAGAAGAUGAAGCCCAUCAGCGACCAGGAGGAGAACGAACUUGUGAUUCUGCACCUGAGGCAGCUCUGUGAAGCCAAGCAGAGGACCCACGUGCACAUCGGGGAAGGGCCGGCGAUUAUUUCAAAUAGUACAAUCCCAGAAAAUGUGACAAGCGGUGGGAGGUUCAAGCUUGAUGUUCUGAAAAACAAAGCGAAGAGAUCCUUAACUUCCUCCCUGGAAAAUAUCUUCUCCAGGGGAGCUAACAGGAUGAGAGGUCGGCUUGGAAGUAUGGACAGCUUUGAACGCGCCAACAGUCUUGCCUCAGAGAAGGACUUCUCACCAGGGGACUCUCCUCCUGGGACACCGCCAGCCUCCCCACUGUCCUCCGCCUGGCACGCCUUCCCAGAGGAGGACUCCGACUCUCCACAGUUCCGAAGACGGGCUCACACAUUCAGCCAUCCACCUUCAAGUUCAAGGAGGAAGCUGAACUUGCAAGAUGGCAAGGCCCACGGCCUACGGUCCCCUCUACUGAGGCAGAGCUCCAGCGAACAAUGCAGCAUUGUCCCGUCAGCCCGGCGCAUGUACAAGGAGAGUAAUUCUUCCUGCAGCCUUCCAAGCCUUCACACAUCCUUCUCUGCCCCUUCCUUCACUGCUCCCUCUUUCCUGAAAAGCUUUUAUCAGAAUUCAGGUAGACUGUCCCCACAGUAUGAAAAUGAAAUCAGACAGGACACUGCUUCAGAGUCAAGUGAUGGAGAAGGGAGAAAGAGGACGUCAUCCACCUGCAGCAACGAGUCCCUAAAUGCCGGAGGAACCCCGGUCACUCCUCGCAGAGUCUCCUGGAGACAGCGGAUUUUCCUCCGGGUUGCAUCUCCUGUGAACAAGUCCCCUUCAGCAAUGCAGCAGCAAAAAGAUGGGCUAGACAGGACUGAGCUGCUCCCGUUGUCUCCUCUCUCUCCCACCAUGGAGGAAGAGCCUCUCAUUAUCUUCUUGUCUGGUGACGAGGACACAGAAAAAGUUGAAGAAAAAAAGAAAUCAAAGGAGCUCAAGAGUCUGUGGAAAAAAGCUAUACACCAGCAAAUCCUGCUGCUUCGAAUGGAGAAGGAAAACCAGAAACUGGAAGGACUUUGGAUACUUGACAAAGAUUUGUGUUGCAGAAGCAAGAAGAGAUGAGCUCCAAUCUAGAAAAGUCAAGUUGGACUAUGAAGAAGUUGGGACAUGUCAGAAGGAGAUCUUAAUAGCAUGGGACAAGAAGCUGUUAAAUUGCAGAACUAAAAUCAGGUGUGACAUGGAAGAUAUCCAUACGUCCCUUAAAGAAGGGGUCCCUAAAAGUCGGCGAGGGGAAAUUUGGCAAUUUCUAGCAUUACAAUAUCGCCUAAGACACAGAUUGCCCAACAAACACCAGCCUCCAGACACCUCCUAUAAGGAGCUUUUGAAGCAGCUCACUGCUCAGCAGCACGCCAUCCUUGUGGAUUUGGGGAGGACUUUUCCCACCCACCCUUACUUUUCAGUGCAGCUUGGGGCAGGACAGCUGUCCCUCUUUAACCUGCUGAAAGCCUACUCUCUGCUGGACAAAGAGGUAGGCUACUGUCAGGGCAUCAGCUUUGUGGCCGGAGUCCUGCUUCUGCACAUGAGUGAAGAGCAAGCCUUUGAAAUGCUCAAGUUCCUAAUGUACGACCUGGGCUUCCGAAAGCAGUACCGACCGGAUAUGAUGUCACUUCAGAUUCAGAUGUACCAACUGUCCAGACUCCUUCAUGACUACCACCGAGAACUCUACAAUCAUCUUGAGGAAAAUGAGAUCAGCCCCAGUCUGUACGCUGCUCCCUGGUUCCUCACACUCUUUGCCUCUCAGUUUCCCUUAGGAUUCGUAGCCAGAGUUUUUGAUAUUAUUUUCCUUCAAGGAACUGAAGUUAUAUUCAAGGUUGCUCUCAGCUUACUGAGCAGCCAGGAGGCACUUAUAAUGGAGUGUGAAAACUUUGAAAAUAUUGUUGAAUUUCUCAAAAGUACAUUACCUGAUAUGAAUACCACUGAAAUGGAAAAAAUUAUUACCCAGGUUUUUGAGAUGGAUAUUUCCAAACAGUUACACGCCUAUGAGGUAGAAUAUCACGUGCUGCAGGAUGAGCUGCUAGAAUCUUCCUAUGCCUGUGAGGACAAUGAAUCUCUGGAGAAGCUGGAGAGAGCCAACAACCAAUUGAAAAGACAGAACAUGGACCUCUUGGAAAAACUCCAGGUGGCUCAUGCUAAAAUUCAGGCCUUGGAAUCCAACCUAGAAACUCUUUUGACCAGAGAAACCAAAAUGAAGGCUUUAAUCCGGACCCUGGAACAAGAUAAAAUGGCAUAUCAAAAGACAGUGGAACAGAUCCGGAAGCUGCUACCAGCAGAUGCGCUGGCCAACUGUGAAUUGCUGUUGAAAGACUUAACUCAUCCAACGAAUGACAAAGCCAAGGCAGGAAAUAAGCCAUAGUUUCAGACAUGGCCUCAGCAGACAGCUUCCUUUAAAAUAUCUGGACCCUGUGUAAGGUUGAUCAGAAAGCUGGUAGGACAGCUACUACUGGUGGUAGGAUCAUCAGAAGGCGAUGUAGCUCUCCUCAGAGCACUCCACUCUUAAGCCAUCACAGACAUCCAGACUGUAUUUCCUUCUGGUUGUUGCCAACUAUGUACAUAACUAUAUCUAAGUGGACAUAAAGAUUCAUGCUUUCAAGUCAAACAGUAGGCGUAUGUUAGGAGAAACUUUCUUUUUCAGUCAGAACUUCAUGAAAAUCACAUCAAAGGGGAGUUCAAGUGAGAUUCUCCUUGGAUACACCUGAAAUCCUUUUGGUUUUCUAGUGAAACAAAUCUAGAAUAUCUUUGUAUAUUGAAAUAUACUUGAACAACAAAAAAAGAUGAAUGUAUUUUUCCCUGCCCCCAAAGAUUAGCAUGCUUCACUCAGUGUGGUAGGCAGACACAUUUCUUUAGCUAUGUGUCUAUCUAUAAGGGACAUGAUUGGCUUCCAGUCUCACUCCCGUGAGUCUCCUAGGAAGGUGGGGCUCUUCUGCCCUGCCUGCUGUGUGACAACCAGCAUGUCUAACCUUUGAGGAUCCUGACCCUGGUUAGGCUUUGCUUUAGAUACACACAGGGAGAAAGCAGGACACUGUGGCUGAGUCAACCCCUCUCAGGGUGAAGAGGGCUGUUGCUAAUUUUCUAGCAGAUUAGACCAGCAUUGAUAUUUAAGCCGAAAAUACGAGGCCUCAAACACACCAUUAAGCUCCUGAAUUGCCUAGGGUAGCCUUUUGCCAUUUUACUUAAGUGACUUCUACACAGGCAAACAGUUGCUUGGUGCUGUAUUUACCAAGUGAGAGGGUUUGCUAUUUUCUCACAAAAGUAUGGGAGCAUUCUAUGUAGUCCUUGCGACCUUCGGUGUUAGAAUAGGGAAAUAAAAUUAGGAUUUCCCAAAGAUGAUAUACCACGUUGAGUUGCUUUUCUAUUUUUUGCUCAAUGCCAGAACCCAUUUUUAAUCACUUUCCCCUUUCAUGUGAAAAUUUAGAACUGUGAACUAUUUAGGAACCAAUCAUGAAAAGCACACAGGAAGGGCUGGAAGCGUCUCCGCCCCAGGGUAAAACCUACAAUUCUGUGUUUGGACUCCUGGCUUCUGCUGCGUACAGGUAGGAUACUAGAGGAUGUUCGUGCAAGCUGGGUGCAUGGAUGGCAAGUCAUUUUCCCAGGACAUGUUCAGUCCCUACAGCAGAGAUGGCUUUACAAUAGUGCCUCUGAACACUGGGACAGCAUUCUGUUUGGCCUUUGUAAACAGUGUUUACUGUUGCUGCUCUUUCAGCCAUUGUCUUUUUGCAGAUGGGUUGCUUGGGGGUAUUUUUCCUCAAAGAGAGUUGAUUAUACACGAGAUGAAAUGUUAUCAUAGUGCUUUUGAGUCAAGAUGUAAAGCUUCCAAAGACAUGGAAACGUGCGGAUGAACAGCAUCUAGGCUGUUCUCCACUUGAAUGUCACAAGGAUCACAGGGUCAGAGUAGCCUUGGAUCUAGGGGGUUUUCUCCUUUAAAAAAGUCUUAUUAGCCAGGAGAGUUGAUGUACGUUCUAGAUUCUAGGAAGUGCUGAUUAUUGAUUCUCCGUUUGGUUGAGGGCCAUUAGUUGAUCUGUUGCUUGGAUCUCUUGAAAAAUGUCUUCAUUUGUAGUAUCUCUAUUCAGCAUUACUGUCUGAUGGUUGAAAUCAUUGCCUUGUGGUGGCUGAAGGAUCCUUAUGUCAGGGAAGGAAAUAGUUUCUUUCCAUUUCUCCAUUAAAAGUAAUGUCUUCAUUUGUAGUAUCUCUAUUCAGCAUUACUGUCUGAUGGUUGAAAUGAUGGUUGAAAUCAUUGCCAGGUGGUGGCUGAGGGAUCCUUAUGUCAGGGAAGGAAAUAUUUUCUUUUCAUUUCUCCAUUAAAAGUAAACUGUGUUCCGGAUGUUGGGAGCCAGCAGUAUGGGUUGUUUAUGGUAUUCAGUGAUUAAGACAACGUGGAUGUGGUAUUUUCUUGUGAAAAUGACUUUUCUUUCUCAUUGGUGAUUUUUUAAAAAAAAAAUAUGUUACUCCUGUUUCGCUUUGUAAUAUUACAUCUCCAUCAGGUUCCUGUAACGUCUAGAAUUAUUUCCAAUAAAUAUGUUGCUGCCAUUU